rnacentral:rRNA from 1 species
CCCUUAGAUGUUCUGGGCCGCACGCGCGCUACACUGACGAAUGCAACGAGCUUAUAACCUUGGCCGAAAGGUCUGGGUAAUCUCCAAAUUUCGUCGUGAUGGGGAUAGAUUAUUGCAAUUAUUAAUCUUCAACGAGGAAUGCCUAGUAAGCGCAAGUCAUCAGCUUGCGUUGAUUACGUCCCUGCCCUUUGUACACACCGCCCGUCGCUCCUACCGAUUGAAUGGUCCGGUGAAGCGUUCGGACCGUGGCCUUUGGACGGUUCGCCGUCUGUUGGCUGCGGGAAGUUCGUUAAACCUUAUCAUUUAGAGGAAGGGGAAGUCGUANCA